rnacentral:lncRNA from 1 species
AUAGCCUUUGUGACCUGCACCAUCUGAUUGUAUUUCUGGUGAAGAAAUGUUCAGCUGGAGCACUCUGAUGAAAUCAUCAGCCAUAGUUCUGCAUUAGAAGAAAUCACUUCUCCUCACACAUUUUUAAGUUGGGGAAAAUAAGACUGCUGAGAAGAUAUAAAGUUUAUGAUUUGGUCGUAUUACAUAUCAGUUAAACGAACUGGAAAAAUCUCUCAAGACUGAGUCAGAAGCCUGGACUCAGGAUUCAUGAACUGUGGUUUGCCUUCAUGUUGACACUAGGAGUUGCUACUUGAUCUGCUGCAGUUUGAAAGAUCUGCAGGAUGGAUGGUUACUCAGCCAGGGUUACCUAAGAACUGAAAAAAAAAUACCAAGCACAUCAUAAACAACCUUUCAGAAUCCCAAGAUGAGGAUAUAAUAGAGAUGAAAUAGAUAUCACUAUGUCCAAGUCAAAAAUUUUGAGGUAACUCUGAAGAUAUUCAUCGGUUUCUAGUUCCGUGAACUGAAUCAAACAUAUGAAAGUUGUGAAGUUGGAAUACAGGUUUGUGAUGGUUGAGGAUAAAACUUCUACCUUUUAAAAUUUACAUAAAAUCAUAAACUUUUAAAUCUACUUCCUGCAACUGAUAGCUCCUGUUAAGAAAGAGAUUUUGUAGUUACGUGGCUCAUGAUAUUAAUCCUAGUUCCUUGGAGGCAAAGGUAUGCAGAUCUCUGAGGAUUCCAAUCCAGCUCAGUUUAUACAGUGAACUCCAGGCCAGUUAGAAUUAUUUAGUGAGAAUACUUGAAAUGUUGUUAACUUUUUAUCUAUUUACUUUUAUAUUUAGAAUACAAGAUCAGAUCUGUCACCAAAUUUCAGGCAAUAAAGAGUCUGAACACACCAAAGGACAAAAACUAAGUUGUUACUGAAUACUGGACACUGCACAGAAGCCACGCCCCACUGCAACACAUUCUAAAUCAACACAGAAGAUUAACCUCUUGCAAAUUUAAUGGGUAAAGUGAAUAUUUAACUGAAGAGCUGCAACACAACGAAGAGUAGAGUUUGUGGACUGUAUCCAUCCAUUCUCGGUUUUUACUAAGGCUUUUGGCCACAGACAAUGGCUUUAUGUUGACAUUUUCUAUUGGAAAGAAUCAAAUCUGAAGAGACGUAUAAAAGGAAAAAGAAUUUGAUAUUAAGAAACUAAACUGUCAUUCUGUACAACAGAGUAGGACUUGGUUAAUGGAACCACAUUGCAAGAGAUUAAACUGGAUAUCAAUUGUAUCAAAUUUUAUCCAUGAGGCAGAAUGCCAAUACUUGAUCAUUACUUCUCUGAGAAGCAGCAGCUCAUAUACCUUUAUAAUACAGUAGGUUAGAACACCCUACGGUACAUAUCAUUUGCUGAAAGUGUAAUCAGGAAACACAUGAUGCAAAAUACCAGACAGGUAAGUGGGUGGGAAACCAAUAAAUCAGUGAUGCAUACUAACCCAAGGAGUUCUCCGCACAGCCAGUGGAAGCUUGCAUUGCACAGUACUGUUCAUUAUCUGGUGGCUCUGAGCUCCACCCACUGUCCGAAAGUGACAACAAUUAGAAGCUGGAGAAUGCCUUGGCCACUGACCGGUGUGUGUAUACAAAAGAGAGUGCACACAUCCUGAGGAGGCCAGAUUAGGGAAUCAGAUACCCUAAUGUGCUUAUGCUUGGAACCAAACUCCAGUCUUCUGGAUGAAUGAGAUGUUCUCUUAAACACUAAGUUGACAGGGAAAAACAUUCAUGGACAAUAAGAAGGCUGAACACAGGCUGGACCAUCAGAAAGAUUAUACUUCAUGAAUAAGGAAGAAGAAAGCUGGAAUAUGUGAACCAGUGUGGAGAAUGUUGGUUUAAUGGUCCUUGGAUGAAUCAUGAUAGAUAGUUAAGUG